CCUGUGGCUGGGGGUGAAAGGCCAAUCAAACCGGGAGAUAGCUGGUUCUCCCCGAAAGCUAUUUAGGUAGCGCCUCGUGAAUUCAUCUCCGGGGGUAGAGCACUGUUUCGGCUAGGGGGCCAUCCCGGCUUACCAACCCGAUGCAAACUGCGAAUACCGGAGAAUGUUAUCACGGGAGACACACGGCGGGUGCUAACGUCCGUCGUGAAGAGGGAAACAACCCAGACCGCCAGCUAAGGUCCCAAAGUCAUGGUUAAGUGGGAAACGAUGUGGGAAGGCCCAGACAGCCAGGAUGUUGGCUUAGAAGCAGCCAUCAUUUAAAGAAAGCGUAAUAGCUCACUGGUCGAGUCGGCCUGCGCGGAAGAUGUAACGGGGCUAAACCAUGCACCGAAGCUGCGGCAGCGA
rnacentral:rRNA from 2 species